UUACUACUCCCUCCGUCCAAAAAUACUUGUCAUCUAAAUGAAUAAAAAGAGAUGUAUCUAGAACUAAAAUAUGUCUAGAUACAUCCCCUUUUAUCCAUUUUGAUGACAAGUAUUUCCGUACAGAGGAAGUAUUUA
rfam:Triticum urartu cultivar G1812 contig626218, whole genome shotgun sequence.